ACGGGAGGCAGCAGUGGGGAAUAUUGCACAAUGGGCGCAAGCCUGAUGCAGCGACGCCGCGUGAGGGAUGACGGCCUUCGGGUUGUAAACCUCUUUCAGCAGGGACGAAGCGCAAGUGACGGUACCUGUAGAAGAAGGACCGGCCAACUACGUGCCAGCAGCCGCGGUAAUACGUAGGGUCCGAGCGUUGUCCGGAAUUACUGGGCGUAAAGAGCUCGUAGGUGGUUUGUCGCGUUGUUCGUGAAAACUCACAACUCAAUUGUGGGCGUGCGGGCGAUACGGGCAGACUGGAGUACUGCAGGGGAGACUGGAAUUCCUGGUGUAGCGGUGGAAUGCGCAGAUAUCAGGAGGAACACCGGUGGCGAAGGCGGGUCUCUGGGCAGUAACUGACGCUGAGGAGCGAAAGCGUGGGGAGCGAACAGGAUUAGAUACCCUGGUA
rnacentral:rRNA from 1 species